rnacentral:misc_RNA from 1 species
UCUCGGCUUAUCACCGGCAGUCCCCCUAGAGUGCCCAACUGAAUGAUGGCAACUAAGGGCGAGGGUUGCGCUCGUUGCGGGACUUAACCCAACAUCUCACGACACGAGCUGACGACAGCCAUGCAGCACCUGUCUCUGUUCCAACUAAAUGAAGCGUUCAUUACAAACGCGGCUAUCAGGAUGUCAAGAGCUGGUAAGGUUUUUCGCGUAGCCUCGAAUUAAACCACGUGCUCCACCGCUUGUGCGGGUCCCCGUCAAUUCCUUUGAGUUUCGGUCUUGCGACCGUACUCCCCAGGCGGAGUGUUUCACGCGUUAGCUGGGCCCCUGAUCCACGUAGACCAAGGGCGAACACUCAUCGUUUAUGGCAUGGACUAC